rnacentral:rRNA from 1 species
CAGUAGCCGCGGUAAAACGUAGGUGGCAAGCGUUGUCCGGAAUUAUUGGGCGUAAAGCGCGCGCAGGCGGCCUAUCCAGUCUGUCUUAAAAGUUCGGGGCUCAACCCCGUGAUGGGAUGGAAACUAGUAGGCUAGAGUAUCGGAGAGGAAAGCGGAAUUCCUAGUGUAGCGGUGAAAUGCGUAGAUAUUAGGAAGAAUACCAGUGGCGAAGGCGGCUUUCUGGACGAAAACUGACGCUGAGGCGCGAAAGCUAGGGGAGCGAACGGGAUUAGAUACCCCAGUAGUCCCUGUCUCUUAUACA